AGCUGGCCUAGGCAGGAUUUUGCAAAAGGAAAGAAGAAUAUUCACACUAAGGUCCCUGAAGCCACACUUCUGCAAACUAGCAGCUACCAAAAAAUGGUGUCUUAUCCAUGGAUCUCUGCCAGGAGUUCAUCAGCCAUGUGGCUGAGUAGUAGCUCAAGUCACUGCCUGUGAGAUCAUGCUGUUGGCAAAGUGAAGUGCAUCUUCUUCACCAUGACCUGCUGCACAUAUCACACUGCUGGUGACUGAUGAAGACUGUACAAUCUGCAGGAGAAAGCACCGUCUUCUGAUGGUUUGAGAAGCACCCAGAGUACUUUGAGUCUAGGCAGAGUAAAAGUAGAACUAAUAAUGCUGGAGACCAGGACUUGUACUUCAAAACCCUACAACUGAUGGAUCUCAAGUAUAUGCUAUUGACCAGAAGUGUAUUCAAUUUGCAACCCUAUGUGUCCAGUAAAUCCAUUACUUAUUGCAGGGUUAUCUCAGGGGGCUUUAAAUUUUCACCUGGGUUGCUGAAAUCAUAAUUUUACCUAGGCUAUUUUAGAUAUUUUAGAACUAGAAAGCAGGAAUAAGAGAGUAAU
rnacentral:lncRNA from 1 species